CCUACGGGUGGCAUCAGUGAGGAAUAUUGGUCAAUGGACGAGAGUCUGAACCAGCCAAGUAGCGUGAAGGAUGACUGCCCUAUGGGUUGUAAACUUCUUUUAUAUGGGAAUAAAACGUUCCACGUGUGGGAUUUUGUAUGUACCAUAUGAAUAAGGAUCGGCUAACUCCGUGCCAGCAGCCGCGGUAAUACGGAGGAUCCGAGCGUUAUCCGGAUUUAUUGGGUUUAAAGGGAGAGUAGGUGGAUUGUUAAGUCAGUUGUGAAAGUUUGCGGCUCAACCGUAAAAUUGCAGUUGAAACUGGCAGUCUUGAGUACAGUAGAGGUGGGCGGAAUUCGUGGUGUAGCGGUGAAAUGCUUAGAUAUCACGAAGAACUCCGAUUGCGAAGGCAGUUCACUGGACUGCAACUGACACUGAGGCUCGAAAGUGUGGGUAUCAAACAGGAUUAGAUACCCCGGUAGUC
rnacentral:rRNA from 1 species